UACGAAGGGGGCGAGCGUUAUUCGGAAUCACUGGGCGUAAAGCGUGCGUAGGCUGUCUAGAAAGUUGGAAGUGAAAGCCCAGGGCUCAACCCUGGAAUUGCUUUCAAAACUACUAGACUCGGAUUUGGGAGAGGAUAGCGGAAUUGUCAGUGUAGCAGUGAAAUGCGUAGAUAUUGACAGGAACACUGAGGGCGAAGGCAAGACUCUGGACAAGUGCUGACGCUCAUGCACGAAGGCUAGGGUAGCGAACGGG
rnacentral:rRNA from 1 species